CGAGCCGGCCAUCAGCGUGGAGCCCUUCAGCCCGGAGCAGGGCGGCUUCUCCGCGGGCGAGCGCGAGGACGUGGUGCUGAGCUGCCUGGCGCCAUCCAACCCGCCCAGCCGCUACGUCUGGCUCCACAACGGCUCCCAGGUCCAUGUGGGUCAGACCUACAUCCUCGCUGCCAUCACCCGCGCCCAGGCCGGCACCUACACCUGCCUGGCCGAGAACAUCCACCUCCAAACCCGCACCCAGGCCACCAUCGUCCUCACCGUCUACUGUAAGUAACCCCCAGAGGGGCGAGAUGGACCAAUGCAGCUCCCUGGUGAGGAUGUGGGUGCAAGGGGUGAUUUGGGAGCAGGAUGGGGGGGCUAUGACUUGGACCUCCCCCAAUCCCCACCCCAGCACCGAUGGUCUCCCGCAGAUCCACCAGCCGGGAGCCCGAGCUGCUCUGCGCUGGCCGCCGGUGACGUGCGGGACGUGGCGCUGCGGUGCCGCUGGCUGGGGGGGUUCCCCCCGGCACGGCUGCGCUGGGUGGGCCCCGAGGAGGAGGAUGAGGAGGAAGAGCGGGGGGUGACGGGGACCUCUUUUUCCAUGGCCACCAGAAUCCAGCCAGGGGGGGCCACCAGGAACGGCAGCGCCUUCUCCUGCCUGGCCUCCCACCCCGCGCUGCCGCAGGGGGCUGCCUGCGGGACCACCCUGUGGAUCCCGGCUGGCGGCCCCUCCUGCGCGGCAGUGGCCACCAAGGGGGACGAGUAUGUGAUGCUGCGGUGCCGGUGGGACGGGGGGACCCCCCCCGUCACCCUGCGCUGGUGGGAUGGCGCUGGGCAGGCGCUGGGUGACCCCGCACCCUCCGCCACCGUCGUGGUGCUGAGCACCAGCAGCAGCCUGGGGGGGCAGGAUUACAUCUGUGCGGCCACCCAUCCGCUCCAGGCCACCGGCACCGAGUGCCGCCUGCGCCUGGAGGCCCCCGAGCUGGAGGUGGCGAGGAGCGAGGUGGCGGUGCUGGAGGGCGGCGAGGCGCGCUUGGCGUGCCGGCGAGGCGGCCCCGGCGCCAACCUGGGUGCCACCAUGGCUUGGUACGACCCCAAGGAGCAGGAGUUGCCAGCGGGGUUGGCCAAGUACCACUUGGAGCGGGGAGAAGCGUGGCUCAACCUCACCAUCCGUGAUGCGGAGUGGCCGGGGGACAGCGGGACCUACCGCUGCGCCGCAGCCAACGCCGUGGGCACCGCCAGCCUCCCCGUCCAGCUCCGCGUGGAACGGUACCCGGCCCCCCCCAACGUCACCAUCAGCAGGCUGCGGUACACGCGGGCGCGCACCGAGGUGCGGCUGGAGUGGCGGACGCAGGGCACCGGCAACCUCACCGGCUUCGUGGUGCAGCGGCGCCAAACCAAGAGACCCCCCCGGCGGGCGGCCGGGCCCUGGGAAACGGCCGCCGGUGACAUCGAGCCCCACUCGCGCGACCGGCGCCUCGGGGGGCUGGACCCGGCCGUGGUUUAUGCCUUCCGCAUCCUGGCCGUCAACCACCGCACGGCCGGGCACCCCUCCGAGGUGCAGACGCCAGGUGAAGGGGGCUGGGGCGCUGCUCCGUGGGGCAGAGCAGGGUUGGAGAUGGGCGAUGGUGGCAGCCUGGUGGAGCUGAGGAGCAAAGCGCGAGCGGCCGUCAGUAGGUUUCAGAGUGAACAGGCUCCGGCUACCGCAUCCCUCGGGCUGCUCCUGCCACAUUCCCCCCCUCUCCCUCUGCUCUCUUCCAGCCGAGCCUCCCUUCGAAGCCUACCCGGCGGUGACGGGGGCAGCGGUGGUGGGGAUGCUGGUGGCCACCGCGGCGUCGCUCCUGGCCGUGCGCUGCAUCGCCCGCCACCGGGACACCCUCCCAUGGCUGCACAACCUCCUCUUCCGCACGGCCGGGCCCGGUGACCAGGAGCCCGCGGGCACACCGGAGGAUGCUGAAACAGCCCUGGAGGAUGGAGCAGCACCGGGAGACGCGUCAGCCCCGGGUGCAGCAGCAGGUAACAGCACCCAUGGGGGGAGCCCAGGGCUGAGCCACCCGCUGGGGUGACCCAGACCCAUGUGGUGGCACUGGGGGGCUCUCCCAGCACCUCCAGAGCCAGACCCAACAGCAGCGGAUGAUCCCCCGGUUCACGUCAGCAUCACGGCGUCUCCAUGAGCGUUCCCUGCCCUGUUCCGCAUCCCGCUCAUCCCGGGAAGGGUGGACACGUGUCCCAAGCCUCAGCUCCUGUGACACUGCUGAAGUCAAACCCCAGCAGCUGGAAAAAUACCCCUUGGGGGUGUUGGCGAAGGGCUUCUGCUGCUUUAGAGUAUUUAAAAGGUGCUCGGGGACGUGGAUGAUGGUUGCCGGGAUGCAGCGGGAGCACCGGGCACACGCCCCUCCACUCAGCCUCCAUCCUUCUGGAGCUACAAUAAAUCCUUUCUCACCCAUUGGAGAGGCAAAAAAA
ensembl:lncRNA